AGAAGCUUACGUUAAAUUAAACCUUGAGCCUUCAAAGCUCUAAAUAGAAGUUAAAUCUUCUAGCUCCUG
rnacentral:tRNA from 1 species